rnacentral:rRNA from 1 species
UACGGGGGGGGCAAGCGUUGUUCGGAAUUACUGGGCGUAAAGGGCUCGUAGGUGGCCAACUAAGUCAGACGUGAAAUCCCUCGGCUUAACCGGGGAACUGCGUCUGAUACUGGAUGGCUUGAGUUCGGGAGAGGGAUGCGGAAUUCCAGGUGUAGCGGUGAAAUGCGUAGAUAUCAAGAGGAACACCUGAGGCGAAGGCGGGUUGCUAGGCUGACACUGACGCUGAGGCGCGAAAGCUAGGGUAGCAAACGGG